rnacentral:siRNA from 1 species
UGGUUAGUGUUUUGGAGUCAC